CCGGCGAACGGGUGCGUAACACGUGAGCAACCUACCGAAAUGUGGGGGAUAGCCGGCCUAACGGCCGAGUAAUACCGCAUACGCUUUCCGAGAGGCAUUUCUUGGAAAGGAAACCUACGGGACAUUUCGAGGGGCUCGCGGCCUAUCAGCUAGUUGGCGAGGUAACGGCUCACCAAGGCAACGACGGGUAGCUGGUCUGAGAGGAUGGCCAGCCACAUUGGGACUGAGAUACGGCCCAG
rnacentral:rRNA from 1 species